rnacentral:rRNA from 1 species
CCUUGUCGGGUAAGUUCCGACCUGACACGAAUGGCGUAAUGAUGGGGGCGCUGUCUCCACCCGAGACUCAGUGAAAUUGAAAUCGCGGUUAAGAUGCCGUGUUCCCGCGGCUAGACGGAAAGACCCCGUGAACCUUUACUAUAGCUUUGCACUGAACUUUUGAACCUAUCUGUGUAGGAUAGGUGGGAGGCUUUGAAGUCGAGACGCUAGUUUCGAUGGAGCCGUCCUUGAAAUACCACCCUGGUAUGUUUGAGGUUCUAACGUAGGCCCCUAAUCGGGGUUGCGGACAGUGUAUGGUGGGUAGUUUGACUGGGGCGGUCUCCUCCCAAAGAGUAACGGAGGAGCACGAAGGUGUGCUAAUCAUGGUCGGAAAUCAUGAGGUUAGUGUAAAGGCAAAAGCACGCUUGACU